AUGCCGCCCCGGCUGCUCACCCUGGCGGCGCUGCUGCUGCUGAGCGCCACGCUGGGCGCGCCGGAGCCGGAGGCCGACAGGGCAGCGCUGCUGGACUUCCUCGCGGGGGUGGGCGGCGGCGGGCGCAUCAACUGGGCCGCCGCCCGCCCCGUCUGCGCCAACUGGACGGGCGUCACCUGCAGCGCCGACGGCGCCCGCGUCGUCGAGCUGCGCCUGCCGGGGCUCGCCCUCUCGGGCCCCGUGCCGCGCCGCACGCUCGCCCGCCUCACCGCGCUCCGGGUGCUCAGCCUCCGCGCCAACGACCUCUCCGGCGCCUUCCCGGACGACCUGCUCGCGCUCCCGGGCCUCGCGGGCCUCCACCUCCAGCGCAACGCCUUCUCCGGCGCCCUGCCGCCCGGCCUCGCGGGGCUCAAGAGGCUGCAGGUGCUCGACCUCUCCUUCAACGCCUUCGACGGGGCCCUGCCCGGCGCGCUCUCCAACCUCACCCAGCUCGUCGCGCUCAACCUCUCCAACAACUCGCUCUCCGGCCGCGUCCCCGACCUCGGCCUCCCGGCGCUGCAGUUCCUCAACCUCUCCAACAACCACCUCGACGGCCCCGUGCCCGGCUCCCUGCUCAGGUUCUCGGACGCCUCCUUCGCCGGGAACAGCAUGACGCGGCCGGCGCCGGUGUCGCCGGCGGUCCCGCCACCGUCGCUCGCCCCGCCGGCGGCCGGCGCGCCCGCCAAGAAACGGGGCCGGCUCAGCGAGGCGGUCGUUCUUGCCAUUAUCGUCGGCGGGUGCGUCAUGCUGUUCGCGGUCGUCGCGGUGCUGCUGAUAGCCUUCUGCAGCAGGCGGGGCGGCGAGGAGGGGAGCCGGGCGGGGUCCGGGAAGGGCGGGGACAAGAAGGGGAGGGAGUCGCCGGAGUCCAAGGCGGUGACCGGCAGGGCCGGGGACGGCAACCGGCUGGUGUUCUUCGAGGGCCCGUCACUGGCGUUCGACCUGGAGGACCUUCUCCACGCCUCCGCCGAGGUUCUCGGGAAGGGAGCGUUCGGCACGGCGUACCGGGCGCUGCUGGAGGACGCCACCACCGUGGUGGUGAAGAGGCUCAAGGAGGUCAGCGCCGGGCGGCGCGAGUUCGAGCAGCAGAUGGAGCUCAUUGGGCGGAUCCGGCACGACAAUGUGGCGGAGCUCCGGGCGUACUACUACUCCAAGGACGAGAAGCUGCUCGUGUACGACUACUACAGCAGGGGAAGUGUAUCCAACAUGCUUCACGGGAAGCGGGGUCUGGACAGAACACCAUUGGAUUGGGAGACUAGAGUAAGGAUAGCCCUGGGCGCAGCAAGAGGGAUCGCCCACAUCCACACUGAGAACAAUGGGAAAUUUGUUCAUGGCAACAUCAAGGCGUCAAAUGUGUUCCUCAACAGCCAGCAAUAUGGCUGCAUCUCUGACCUUGGCUUGGCGCCACUGAUGAACCCGAUAACCGCAAGGUCCCGUUCUCUGGGAUACUGUGCACCUGAGAUCACCGACACAAGGAAAUCAACGCAGUGCUCUGAUGUCUACAGCUUCGGUGUCUUUGUGCUCGAGCUCCUCACUGGCAAGUCACCUGUUCAGAUAACUGGCGGCGGCAACGAGGUUGUCCACCUUGUCAGGUGGGUGCAGUCCGUUGUCCGGGAGGAGUGGACCGCCGAGGUGUUUGACGGCGAGCUGAUGAGGUACCCUAACAUCGAGGAGGAGAUGGUGGAGAUGCUACAGAUCGCCAUGGCAUGCGUCUCGAGGAACCCAGAGCGGCGGCCGAAGAUGAAGGACAUGGUGAAGAUGAUCGAAGAGGUCGGCAGGAACGACAGUGGGACGCGGGCUUCGACGGAGGCCUCGACGCCGGUGGGGGAAGCUCGGAACAAGGCAGAAAGCUCAUCUGCAGCCUCCUGA
rnacentral:rRNA from 1 species